AUUGAACGCUGGCGGCAUGCCUUACACAUGCAAGUCGAACGGCAGCACGGGUGCUUGCACCUGUUGGCGAGUGGCGAACGGGUGAGUAAUACAUCGGAACAUGUCCUGUAGUGGGGGAUAGCCCGGCGAAAGCCGGAUUAAUACCGCAUACGAUCUACGGAUGAAAGCGGGGGACCUUCGGGCCUCGCGCUAUAGGGUUGGCCGAUGGCUGAUUAGCUAGUUGGUGGGGUAAAGGCCUACCAAGGCGACGAUCAGUAGCUGGUCUGAGAGGACGACCAGCCACACUGGGACUGAGACACGGCCCAGACUCCUACGGGAGGCAGCAGUGGGGAAUUUUGGACAAUGGGCGAAAGCCUGAUCCAGCAAUGCCGCGUGUGUGAAGAAGGCCUUCGGGUUGUAAAGCACUUUUGUCCGGAAAGAAAUCCUUGGCUCUAAUACAGUCGGGGGAUGACGGUACCGGAAGAAUAAGCACCGGCUAACUACGUG
rnacentral:rRNA from 1 species